CAGACGGUCCGAGCUGCAGACUGUCAGUCGAUGCCAACUGCACUGCAGAGAUGGAGAACAGACGUAUACAUUUGGCUUGUGGACGUUUCUGCCCCUACAUCGCAGUCAUCGCCGUUUUCAUCCUGUUUGGCAUCAACUUCGAAUGCACCCGCAAACCACAAGUCUUUGACUGCAACGUGUACCAGGCUCUACCAUUUUUCAUAGUUUUCCUGUUGAUUCUGUGGACAGACAGCUCGUUUCAGAGCGUCUGCAGACUCCUGUGCUCAGGUGUGCCCCGAGGCACACACACCCACACCUACAGUUUUUGGGGUUCUUUCUUCUAUCACAUUAUCAAGGCAGCGUUCAUCGGCCUGCUGUGGGUUGUUGUGGUUUUGAUCAACGGAAACUGGUACGUCUGCUGUCAGAACGAUGGCUCUGAACAACAGAGACAGUUGGCCUGCAAAGCCGUGGGGACGAUCACUGAAGAGGAACGAGUGACCAUCGCUGAACUGAAGAACAAGUCCAGGGUUAUUGGCUCCUUUCUGCUCUUUGUUAUCGUUUGUGUGCCAGCCCUGAUGGCGUCUCUCGGAUGGAGGAAAUGUUCCAGAAGGAAACAGUUUGAGAAACUGAUGUUAGAGGAGGAGGAAAAGGUGCUGAAGGAGGUUCUGAGGAAAUCAGCCAGAGAGCACCUGAGCAGAGCGAUUGAGGACAGAGUACGCAGGAGCCGAUGGGAGGAGUGUUCUGAUGUGGCUGCAGAUCUGAUCACAUCUGAAGAGAUCUUUCCUGAACACGAGGAGCGACAUCCUCCACGGGAGACAUGAGACCAGAGCGUGAAACCUCCAUGAUAAGCAGAACGAGACUAAACUCUGAUUAUGUUCCACAGAUGUGACGUCUGAGCCCAAAGAAUCAAAUCCAGCUGUUUACUGGCUCACAUGUAUGUAUGAGGAUUAGGGAUGCACCGAUACUGACGCCAGUAUCGGUCCGAUGCUGUGCGCAUGGACUCGUACUUGUAAUCAUAAAGUUACUCUGAUGAUACCACACCUGAUACCUCCUCAUAGCAACGUGGCGUUAACCCUUGUGUUGUCGUUGGGUCAAAUUUGACCCAUUUGAAAAAAUAAUUUAUAUCAGAAAUAUGGGUUUCUUUCAACCAAAUUGCAGAAAAUUAACAUGGGUGUAUGGAUAUAUGUUGUAUGGGUUCCAUAGAACAUUCUAUGCAGGUAAAAUUAAUGAUUACUUUCAUUGACUUGGGGUGUUCCAUUCAAUUUUAUUGCAUUUGAAAAAAAGGUUUUAAAUGGUUUUAAACCCGCAUCCUGACUAAACCUGGACAUAUACCAGUCUGUGUUCUACUCAACAUCCUCUGGUCUCGACUAUUAGUCAAAAUAAUUCAUAAUUUCAGAUUUUUUACCUCAAAAAUGAGGUAUAAUAUCAUAUAGAUUUGGUUUAUUGACCAUGAUACAGAAAGCUUUGAAAGCUUUUUUGACAAUUUUUUUUUUUAAAUUGCCAAAAGCAUCGCAAAAAAUGACAAACACGCUGGAAAUCAAUUAUUAAUUUUCAGUUUUGAAAGUUAAUGAUCAAGUUAAUGACAAGUUCAUUUUUCCAUCAUCAUUUAAAUGUUUUCCAGGCACAAGGCUGUUGUUUAGUAAAUCUAUCACUGACUAGUUGUUCUAGUUGACAACAAUAUCCGAGCAGGCCAAAAUCAUCUGUGUGUCUGAAAACACCCUCAGACCCCAGAGGGAUCAUUACAGUAAUUACCAAUAUUGGUACUCGGUACCGGUGAGUACCCAAAUGUAAGUACUUGUAUGUGUUUUUUUAAAAAGCGAUAUUGGUGCAUCCCUAGAAAUGAUGAUUUAGAUUUGCUUAGUUUAAAAAAGUUCUGUUUUCUGUUUUGAGUCUUCAUGAAAAAAACAAUCAUGCAGAACAAUUGAAUUGUUCUUUGUUUUUUAAUUCUAAAAUCAGCAUUUAAUGUACGCUAUGUUUAAUAAGAAAUCAUCAGUGUUGUUAGUUUCCAAACGAUAUUCCAAAAAUCUUCUCUUGUAAUCACAGAAUAGUAUUGUGUUUUACUGAAACAUAAAUCCUCCAUCUCUCUGAUUAUUACUGCUGUUCUGUCAAAUAAUAAAGUACAUUUAGGGACUGGUCGUUUUUUAUUUAAAUGCCUACCAGAGGAGUUUUGGGGUCUUUGGUCAAAAAAGACUUGACCCUCCCUUCGCCAAUAAUACAUUUUUCUACAACUGUCCAAAAUGAAUGGGGAAAAAAGGCAUGACCCUCCAACAUUUUUUAUGCAUUCUGUUAUGGCUUGCGCUUGGCUAAGAGGAACAGCCAGGGGGGUUCAUACUGAGAGAGCUACAUGGAGCUACAUGUGCACCAAACAAGCAACUUUGAAAUUUUGCUGAUUUCUGGGAUAGAAAAGUUGGGUGACCCACCCCACUAGACUAAAAAAAGUUGGAUGACCCUCCACUCAAAAAAGAAUAAAGAAAUAUGACCCUCCCCUAUUUUCCUCUGGUGGUCCAUUCCAUAAAAAUGCCAAACGGUCCCUUAAGCAAGUAGUAAUAUCUACUGUUAGUGAUGUUUUCAGCUACUCAUUUCACAUCUUAGAGACUCUAUACUCUAAACCUCUGAUGUUGCUAUUUUGUUUUUCUUUUACAGUUUGUGUACGAAGAUUUCUCUGAACUAAGUCCUAAUCAUUUUAGAUCUAAUCAUAGAUUAGAGGUAUAUUAUUGUAGUUUUGGUAGUUGAACCAACAGGCCUGUAGCUUCAGUGAGAAACUAAAAGCUGUUCACACAGUGUGCACUGCAGAGCUGGAGGAGCUGACACCUGCAGAAUAGAAAGUAUUCAGAACUCAACGCUGGUAUGAACCGACCACAAGAACAUGUGGUUUCUCUUUCUCAGGCCGACUCUUUCCUUCUUCAGCUGCGUCUCUCAUCAGUAUCCUGUUUGCAUCCUGUCACUGCAGCGCUGCUCACCUUCAUGUCUCUACUUCACAGUUUUACAAUUCUGUGAAAUUAAUUUUCACUAUGUAAUUAUUAGAAAAUAAAAAAGCAGCGGAGUAGUAACGACCAUUAAAUGAGUUAACUUAACUUCAUGCUUCAUCCACACAAAGCAAGUUGCUAUCGCCACGAGUGGCAGCUUUAUUCUGUCACGGCCCGCUGGCUGUGACCCUGGCCUCCUUCAUGCUAUGUGUGUGAACGUAGUUUUUGUGUUCUUUUUCUCCUUUUGUGUUUUGUUUUGGUGUCUGUCUCCGUGUUUUUGCUCUCUCCCACAUGCUCUGGAAACCAAUGGUGGGCGUGGUCACUCAGCUCCUGCCUACACACCUGUGGCUCAUCAGACUACUCAGCACUCCUGUUCCUCAGCAACCGUUUACUUCCUUUAUAAGCCAGGCCAACCUUCCAGUCCCCGCUGGAUCGUUAGCCUUACCUUUUCUGGUCACCUGGAAUAUUCCCUGCACCUCCGCCUAGCUGUCUACUUCACCAGUGUACUGGAUCUUCACAGACCCUCCAGCUGGAUCGCUUACACCCGCUGCUCCACCAGCUGCACUCGCCUGUUUUUUCCACAUACAAUAUCCAAAUAAAACCUCACCUUGUUCAUUCAA